UCUUUUGUGAAAUUCUUCAGCUCAACUGGGGGUCCGCAAAAGAAACUUCUAGGCUUGAGGGAAGAAGAGGUACAGGGAAUUUCCGGUGGAGCGGUGAAAUGCGUAGAUAUCGGAAGGAACACCAAUAUGGCGAAGGCACUGUACUGGGCUUUACCUGACGCUAAGAGACGAAAGCUAAAGGAGUGAUUAGGAUUAGAUACCCUAGUAAUUUUAGCCGUAAACGAUGGAAACUCACUGCCGAGCCGGUAUUCGGAGCGGUGGUCAAGCUAACGCGUGAAGUUUCCCGCCUGGGGACUACGCAUGCAAAUGUGAAACUCAAAGGAAUUGACGGGGACCCGCACAAGCGGUGGAGUAUGUGGUUUAAUUCGAUGCAACGCGAAAAACCUUACCAAGGUUUGAAAUCAUUUCAAAACUCUUUGAAAGAAGAGCCUCCUUCGGGAUGGAAUGACAGGUGGUGCAUGGCUGUCGUCAGCUCGUGUUGUGAAAUGUCAAGUUAAGUCUUGUAACGAGCGCAACCCAUGUCUUUUGUUGCUGUUUACAGUGCUUAAAAGAGACUGCCGCUCUACAGCGGAGGAAGGUGUGGAUGAUGUCAAGUCAGCAUGCCCCUUAUAUCUUGGGCUACACACGUACUACAACGGUAGGGACAAUGAGUCGCAAACCUGCGAAGGCUAGCCAAUCUCAAAAACCCUAUCUCAGUUCGGAUUGUACGCUGCAACUCGC
rnacentral:rRNA from 1 species